AGGUGAAGAAGAUAAGGAGGUGACUUGGUAAAGUACUGACUCUGACACCAUAAUUGUGGUCAAUAGGUCAUUUGUUAAUAGCGUUUCGUACAUAAAGAUACUAUCGCCGGAAGAUGUGCAGAAAAAGGGUGAGCCUGGCGAAGGCAGCAACGGAUUCUUCCCACAGAACCUGUCCCAUUUCUAGGCACUGCAAAUUAUCUCUUCCUCAUGUUUCGUCUACUUCUCUCAAAGUUGGACGAUUUGUAUGAAUGUAUCAUUUCGCAAGUUGGGUGUUAGAAUCUUCCAGGCCCUGUACUGAGCACUGUCUUAAACAUAACAUCCUUGUUUAGCUAAUGUUUAACUCAUAUUGUCAUCAUUACUCUUCUUUUAGUAUGUGAUAAUGCCCAUUAGUUUAUAGAUUAA